rnacentral:rRNA from 1 species
UACGGAGGGGGCGAGCGUUAUUCGGAAUUAUUGGGCGUAAAGGGCGCGUAGGCGGCCCUGUAAGUCAAAGGUGAAAUCCCUCGGCUCAACUGAGGAACUGCCUUUGAAACUGCAGGGCUUGAGGCCGGGAGGGGGUAGCGGAAUUCCCAAUGUAGCGGUGAAAUGCGUAGAUAUUGGGAGGAACACCAGUGGCGAAGGCGGCUACCUGGACCGGUUCUGACGCUGAGGCGCGAAAGCGUGGGGAGCAAACAGG